AAUGAUUGAUAGGGACAGUUGGGGGCAUUAGUAUUUAGUUGUCAGAGGUGAAAUUCUAGGAUUUACUAAAGACGUGACCAAUGCGAAAGCAUUUGCCAAGGAUGUUUUCAUUAAUCAAGAACGAAAGUAGGGGGAUCGAAGACGAUCAGAUACCGUCGUAGUCUCUACCGUAAACUAUGCCGACCAGGGAUCCGGAGAGUUUGCAUGGAUGACUCCCCGGGCACCUUGUGAGAAAUCAUAAGUGUUUGGGUUUUGGGGGGAGUAUGGUCGCAAGGCUGAAACUUAAAGGAAUUGACGGAAGGGCACCACCAGGAGUGGAACCUGCGGCUUAAUUUGACUCAACACGGGGAAACUUACGAGGUCAGGACACUGUGAGGAUUGACAGAUUGAAAGCUCUUUCUUGAUUCAGUGGGUGGUGGUGCAUGGCCGUUCUUAGUUGGUGGAGUGAUUUGUCUGGUUAUCCG
rnacentral:rRNA from 1 species